UAAGAGCGAAUGGUGGAUGCCUUGACUGGUAAAGGCGAUGAAGGACGUACUAGACUGCGAUAAGCUACGGGGAGCUGUCAAGAAGCUUUGAUCCGUAGAUUUCCGAAUGGGGCAACCCAAUGUAUAGAGAUAUACAUUACCUAUAUAGGAGCGAACGAGGGGAAUUGAAACAUCUUAGUACCCUCAGGAAAAGAAAUCAAUAGAGAUUGCGUCAGUAGCGGCGAGCGAAAGCGCAAGAGGGCAAACCCAGUGCUUGCACUGGGGGUUGUAGGACUGCAAUGUGCAAGAGGUGAGUUUAGCAGAACAUUCUGGAAAGUAUAGCCAUAGAGGGUGAUAGUCCCGUAUGCGAAAAACAAACCUUAGCUAGCAGUAUCCUGAGUAGGGCGGGACACGAGAAAUCCUGUCUGAAGCUGGGUCGACCACGAUCCAACCCUAAAUACUAAUACCAGAUCGAUAGUGCACAAGUACCGUGAGGGAAAGGUGAAAAGAACUGAGGUGAUCAGAGUGAAAUAGAACCUGAAACCAUUUGCUUACAAUCAUUCAGAGCCCUAUGUAGCAAUACAGGGUGAUGGACUGCCUUUUGCAUAAUGAGCCUGCGAGUUGUGGUGUCUGGCAAGGUUAAGCAAACGCGAAGCCGUAGCGAAAGCGAGUCUGAAUAGGGCGCUUAGUCAGAUGCUGCAGACCCGAAACGAAGUGAUCUAUCCAUGAGCAAGUUGAAGCUAGUGUAAGAACUAGUGGAGGACUGAACCCAUAGGCGUUGAAAAGCCCCGGGAUGACUUGUGGAUAGGGGUGAAAGGCCAAUCAAACUUCGUGAUAGCUGGUUCUCUCCGAAAUAUAUUUAGGUAUAGCGUUGUGUCGUAAUAUAAGGGGGUAGAGCACUGAAUGGGCUAGGGCAUACACCAAUGUACCAAACCCUAUCAAACUCCGAAUACCUUAUAUGUAAUCACAGCAGUCAGGCGGCGAGUGAUAAAAUCCGUCGUCAAGAGGGAAACAACCCAGACUACCAGCUAAGGUCCCUAAAUCUUACUUAAGUGGAAAACGAUGUGAAGUUACUUAAACAACCAGGAGGUUGGCUUAGAAGCAGCCAUCCUUUAAAGAAAGCGUAAUAGCUCACUGGUCUAGUGAUUUUGCGCGGAAAAUAUAACGGGGCUAAAGUAAGUACCGAAGCUGUAGACUUGCGCACAACUUAGAUUAUUUAAGUUUAGAAUAUGAGAAACUAAGUUAUAUGUUUAGUUAUAUUUUUACUGAUUUUUAUAGAGUAAAGAUAGAAAUAAAACUUAGUAAAAUCAGUAAAAAUAUUCUUAGACUAAAGUUAAGUAGUUUAAGUUGUGUGCAAGUGGUAGGAGAGCGUUCUAUUUGCGUCGAAGGUAUACCGGUAAGGAGUGCUGGAGCGAAUAGAAGUGAGCAUGCAGGCAUGAGUAGCGAUAAUUAAUGUGAGAAUCAUUAACGCCGUAAACCCAAGGUUUCCUACGCGAUGCUCGUCAUCGUAGGGUUAGUCGGGUCCUAAGUCGAGUCCGAAAGGGGUAGACGAUGGCAAAUUGGUUAAUAUUCCAAUACCAACAUUAGUGUGCGAUGGAAGGACGCUUAGGGCUAAGGGGGCUAGCGGAUGGAAGUGCUAGUCUAAGGUCGUAGGAGGUUAUACAGGCAAAUCCGUAUAACAAUACUCCGAGAACUGAAAGGCUUUUUGAAGUCUUCGGAUGGAUAGAAGAACCCCUGAUGCCGUCGAGCCAAGAAAAGUUUCUAAGUUUAGCUAAUGUUGCCCGUACCGUAAACCGACACAGGUGGGUGGGAUGAGUAUUCUAAGGCGCGUGGAAGAACUCUCUUUAAGGAACUCUGCAAAAUAGCACCGUAUCUUCGGUAUAAGGUGUGGUUCGCUUCGUAUUAGGAUUUACUCCGAAAGCGAAGAAACUUACAACAAAGAGUCCCUCCCGACUGUUUACCAAAAACACAGCACUCUGCUAACUCGUAAGAGGAUGUAUAGGGUGUGACGCCUGCCCGGUGCUCGAAGGUUAAUUGAUGGGGUUAGCAUUAGCGAAGCUCUUGAUCGAAGCCCGAGUAAACGGCGGCCGUAACUAUAACGGUCCUAAGGUAGCGAAAUUCCUUGUCGGUUAAAUACCGACCUGCAUGAAUGGCGUAACGAGAUGGGAGCUGUCUCAAAGAGGGAUCCAGUGAAAUUGUAGUGGAGGUGAAAAUUCC
rnacentral:rRNA from 1 species